GCCCUAGUAGCUUAACACAAAGCAUCGGUCUUGUAAACCGAAGACCAGAGGUUAAAAUCCUUUCUAGCGCUU
rnacentral:tRNA from 1 species